AGAGUUUGAUCCUGGCUCAGGAUGAACGCUGGCGGCGUGCCUAAUACAUGCAAGUCGAACGCGAGACGAGGGAGCUUGCUCCCUCCGAUCGAGUGGCGGACGGGUGAGUAACACGUAGGCAACCUGCCCAUCAGCCGGGGAUAACUGCGGGAAACCGUGGCUAAUACCGGAUAAACCUUUCCUCCGCGGGGAGGGGAGUUGAAAGACGGUUUCGGCUGUCGCUGAUGGAUGGGCCUGCGGCGCAUUAGCUGGUUGGUGGGGUAACGGCCCACCAAGGCGACGAUGCGUAGCCGACCUGAGAGGGUGAUCGGCCACACUGGGACUGAGACACGGCCCAGACUCCUACGGGAGGCAGCAGUAGGGAAUCUUCCGCAAUGGACGCAAGUCUGACGGAGCAACGCCGCGUGAGUGAAGAAGGGUUUCGGCUCGUAAAACUCUGUUGUUAAGGAGGAAUGACAGGUAGAGUAACUGCUACCUGUGUGACGGUACUUAACCAGAAAGCCACGGCUAACUACGUGCCAGCAGCCGCGGUAAUACGUAGGUGGCAAGCGUUAUCCGGAAUUAUUGGGCGUAAAGCGCGCGUAGGCGGUCUUUUAAGUCUGAUGUGAAAGCCCCCGGCUCACCGGGGAGGGUCAUUGGAAACUGGGAGACUUGAGUGCAGAAAAGAGAGUGGAAUUCAUGUGUAGCGGUGAAAUGC
rnacentral:rRNA from 1 species